UGAGUAACCUGCCCUGGACUUUGGGAUAACCCUCGGAAACGGGGGCUAAUACCGGAUAUGACGGCUCACCGCAUGGUGUGGUUGUGGAAAGUUUUUCGGUAUAGGAUGGGCUCGCGGCCUAUCAGCUUGUUGGUGGGGUGAUGGCCUACCAAGGCGACGACGGGUAGCCGGCCUGAGAGGGCGACCGGCCACACUGGGACUGAGAUACGGCCCAGACUCCUACGGGAGCA
rnacentral:rRNA from 1 species